UGAAUGCCAUUUGGGGAUGUCCAUGUCC
rnacentral:sRNA from 1 species